GGAUGCGUGCCCGAGGGGCUGAAGGGCGCUGCCUGCUAAGCAGUUGGCCGGCGAUGAGCCGGCGCGAAGGUUCGAAUCCUUCCGCAUCCGCCA
rnacentral:tRNA from 1 species